rnacentral:rRNA from 1 species
UCGAGAAUCUUCGGCAAUGGGCGCAAGCCUGACCGAGCGAUGCCGCGUGCGGGAUGAAGGCUUUCGGGUUGUAAACCGCUGUCGUAGGGGAGCAAGGCGUAAGCUUGAGCGAUCCUAGGAGGAAGGACCGGCUAAGUCUGUGCCAGCAGCCGCGGUAAUACAGACGGUCCAAACGUUAUUCGGAAUUACUGGGCUUAAAGAGUUCGUAGGCGGUCCAGAAAGUGGGGUGUGAAAGCCCUCGGCUCAACCGAGGAACUGCGCUCCAAACUACUGGACUUGAGGAGGCUAGAGGUAAGCGGAACUGAUGGUGGAGCGGUGAAAUGCGUUGAUAUCAUCAGGAACACCGGAGGCGAAGGCGGCUUACUGGGGCCUUUCUGACGCUGAGGAACGAAAGCCAGGGGAGCGAACGGGAUUAGAUACCCCCGUAGUCC